rnacentral:rRNA from 1 species
AUACGGAGGGUGCAAGCGUUAUUCGGAAUCACUGGGCGUAAAGGACGCGUAGGCGGGUUGGCAAGUCAGAUGUGAAAUCCUACAGCUUAACUGUAGAACUGCAUUUGAAACUGCUAACCUAGAGUAUGUGAGGGGGAGAUGGAAUUAGUGGUGUAGGGGUAAAAUCCGUAGAUAUCACUAGGAAUACCGAAAGCGAAGGCGAUCUCCUGGAACAUAACUGACGCUAAGGCGUGAAAGCGUGGGGAGCAAACAGAAUUAGAAACCCCAGUAGUCC